rnacentral:rRNA from 1 species
AACACGGAGCUUGCUCUGUGGGAUCAGUGGCGAACGGGUGAGUAACACGUGAGCAACCUGCCCCUGACUCUGGGAUAAGCGCUGGAAACGGCGUCUAAUACUGGAUAUGUGACGUGACCGCAUGGUCUGCGUCUGGAAAGAAUUUCGGUUGGGGAUGGGCUCGCGGCCUAUCAGCUUGUUGGUGAGGUAAUGGCUCACCAAGGCGUCGACGGGUAGCCGGCCUGAGAGGGUGACCGGCCACACUGGGACUGAGACACGGCCCAGACUCCUACGGGAGGCAGCAGUGGGGAAUAUUGCACAAUGGGCGCAAGCCUGAUGCAGCAACGCCGCGUGAGGGACGACGGCCUUCGGGUUGUAAACCUCUUUUAGCAGGGAAGAAGCGAAAGUGACGGUACCUGCAGAAAAAGCGCCGGCUAACUACGUGCCAGCAGCCGCGGUAAUACGUAGGGCGCAAGCGUUAUCCGGAAUUAUUGGGCGUAAAGAGCUCGUAGGCGGUUUGUCGCGUCUGCUGUGAAAUCCGGAGGCUCAACCUCCGGCCUGCAGUGGGUACGGGCAGACUAGAGUGCGGUAGGGGAGAUUGGAAUUCCUGGUGUAGCGGUGGAAUGCGCAGAUAUCAGGAGGAACACCGAUGGCGAAGGCAGAUCUCUGGGCCGUAACUGACGCUGAGGAGCGAAAGGGUGGGGAGCAAACAGGCUUAGAUACCCUGGUAGUCCACCCCGUAAACGUUGGGAACUAGUUGUGGGGUCCAUUCCACGGAUUCCGUGACGCAGCUAACGCAUUAAGUUCCCCGCCUGGGG